CCAUAUGCAAAUCAAUUCACAAACCAAUUGCAAUUCCAACUCUCCAACAUUUAUAGUGAACUAAGAAGAUUUUCAAGUGUUUUUACUUCGUCCAUGUUCUAAAAUAUAUAAGUGAAGCUAUAGAGAAAUUCUAAAAACAUGUAGCCAUGCAUAUACUCCAGUGUUUUUUCACGAUGUUAUCCAUUGUAAGCAGUAUUUAUGGUGGCACAAUGAUGGUAGGUUAUGUUGUGGUUUUGGUAAGAUUUUGGGGGGCUUAGUUGUAGCAACAAUCUUCCAUUUGUUUAUGGUCAUUUGUAUGUUUGUAGGUCUAGUUGUCGCCUUACAUGGUUGUGGUUGUCUUUUUAUGCCCGUGAGUUCAACUUUCUUUUAGCGGUCUAGGAUUUUUGGCUGGUCAAAGAUUUUUCGAAAUCAUUAAUUGAAGAAUAUACUUUUAAAACAUCAUGGGCACCACUAGCGAUCAGACUACUGAUCCUAGCAUCUUAUCAGACCACUCCGUCACCGUUAGAUGUGAGCAUGUGUGAGUGGUGGAUGAAGCAACGCUGCAUGCUGCCCAUCCCAGUUUGGACUUUCCAAAACUGAAACUAAUUAAUGUGGAGUUUCCAAAACAAAUCCAAUUGACGUAUAUUGUGGUUUGAUUGCUUCCGAAAAUCACUCUUGGAUGCUGAACUUUUGGAAACUGAUUUUGUAUUUGAAGGAAACAAAUUAAUUACCUUAGCGCACUAGGCUUUCAAGGUUCUGUAGUAUGCUUCGUCACGAACGGCAUUUUGCUUCCAAUGUAUCCUCCAUUGCUUCUGAAGCAACAAAAAUUUACAUCGAUGUAAAGCAUUGUGACUGAAGUUUGCUUCCAUUUGAUAGAUAUGUGUGUCGGUGGUCUCUAUUACAUGCUUCAACUUUUAGUGUGUUAUGCUUCCUAUUAUCAAUAAAUGUGCUUCUGUUCCGAAACAACACAUGUAUUACACUUCCCUUAAAGAACAUGUAUUACGAUUCAACCUUGAAUACGUUAUGUCUCCUAAUACCUAAAUAUAUGCUUCCUUCUAUCCAUACAGAUGUUAGGUACAUUACUCGAUGGUAUCUGAUGGAUGCAUGCAUUGGCCAUCCCGCAAAGUAGUAGCUUCAAGUGUUGUCUUGAUCAUGCGCAUCUAGAUGUGUUAGAGGAGCACAUUGAUCACCUUGAAAAGAAAUAUCUUCAUGAAUAGCUUGCACCCACGACAAAAUGCUCAAUGAUGGGACACCAUGACCGCUUUGACGAGGCCGCCGGCGCUGCUGUUCACCACGAUGGGAUGGAUAUGGUGGGCUAGGCACCAGGCAGACUGGGAGCUUCUUCUUCCAUAGCUGCUACCUUGGGCUCUAAAACAUAUGCAAAAUUCAAAUUUAGAAUCACUUGUGAUAUUUCAUGGAAACAUCAAUGAGAAACAAUGAAGGGUUGAGAGUACGG
rnacentral:lncRNA from 1 species